UUCCUACGGGGCGCAGCAGUAGGGAAUCUUCCACAAUGGGCGAAAGUCUGAUGGAGCAACGCCGCGUGAGUGAAGAAGGGUUUCGGCUCGUAAAACCCUGUUGGUAGUGAAGAAAGAGAGAGGGAGUAACUGGCCUUUAUUUGACGGUAAUUACUUAGAAAGCCACGGCUAACUACGUGCCAGCAGCCGCGGUAAUACGUAGGUGGCAAGCGUUGUCCGGAUUUAUUAGGCGUAAAGCGAGUGCAGGCGGUUCAAUAAGGCUGAUGUGAAAGCCUUCGG
rnacentral:rRNA from 1 species